rnacentral:tRNA from 3 species
GCGAGAGUGGCGGAAUUGGCAGACGCGCUGGACUUAGGAUCCAGUCCCGCAAGGGGUGCAGGUUCAAAUCCUGUCUCUCGCA